ensembl:lncRNA
GGAUAUUGCAUUUGUAUUGAAAUUUUUUUCAUGCUGGAAAGGCGGGGACAAAGAGCUUCUGUGAGGACAUCUUCACUCCUGUGGGGCAACACUGCCAUCAUGCGGAAUGUGUUUCAUACAUUCCCUCACAGGCAUGUACAGGAACUUCCUCCAUUCUGCUUGUUGCCAUUUUGAAACAGGGACAGUCUUGUAAUCCUGAAUGGACAACCUUGCGUGUUACAUUUUUUUCUACUUCUGUCGACAGACUGUAAUUAUGUUACUGAAAAAUCCCACGCAGAGAGACCCUUACUCAAGUCUUGGGAAAUCGCGGACCCCAGACACAGAGAGACCAUUUUGGAUGUAAUAAGCAAAGGCGAGGUUUAUUAUGGAGACCUAUUACAGAGAUCUCCGGGCCGACAGGUUUCUUGCGCAGGAGACAGAGGUGUAGACCCUGAGAAGCUGGGAGAAAGAGUAUUUAAAGGCAGAGGCUGUGAGCCCAGGGGAUGGGGGAUGUCAAAGGGGAAGGCACCACAAGUUACAGGAUUGUUUUAUGGCUCCAGGAGAUAAGGGGAUGCCAGAAGGUUUUAUGGCCCCCUGGUUCCUGGAACAGAGCUACUAAAUCAGGAGAAAGGUCGGGUCUUCAGGUCCUCAUUAUUUUUAAAAGUUUGUCAGAAUUGAUGAAGCAUCUGUGUUUGAAACACCUCUGGUUAGGCUUGGCCUGCUGGUUUCUUGGGGUGCUCUCUGUAGGACGCAAUGGCUGGAAAGCACAAGCAGGGGCUUAAAUAAACAUCACGGGCAGAACAAAGAACAGUUACUCACACCGGGUGAUAAGCAAAGUAGUUCUCUUGUAUUCCUUUUCUUUAUCUUUAUGGCCUGCUACUCCUGAGUUUGUGGCUUUUGGGGCUUACUCUUUUAAUUUUAUAUUUUUAAACCUUAAAUUCGUAUAAUUUUCCUUUCAUUACCUUACAGAGUAUUAAUGCAGACCAUGUUGACUGAGAGACUUGUACCAAGUGCACAACUGUGCUGAGGUCCUAGAGCAGGAAGCAGAGGGGCGGGUUUCAAUUGUACUCACCUGGCAAUGUUAACCUAGUAGCUGGUGGCUUAGGGCAGCCAGGUGCCUCACUCUCCAGGCUCUGACAGGAAAGCACUACAGUCCUGCAUUUCUGUUGGGGCUUGAGGAGAAGUACUGGAAGCCCAGAUAGGCACCCAGAGGUAUUUUUGCUGUUUGUAAACUUCUGCCAUCUUCUGCCAUUGCUAAGAAACAUGGGUAGAUAGCUCAGUGGAGCCUUUUUCUUUCUUUUUAUAAAUCACAACAGUGAGUUUAAAGUCCACCCCCAUGACAGUGGUAGAGCUCCAGGAAAGAGCCUGUCACAACUUUUCUCUGCCCCUCUCUCAGAAAAGCAAAAGAAAGCAAAAGAAAAAACACCAUUAAGAGUCAAAAGGCACCAAGGAAGAUGGCUGUCCUGAGUUUUCAAACCUUAUGGCUGUCCUGAGUUUUUCAAACCUUAAUACAGUAUUAGUAUUUUAAUUUUUGUCUCCCCUGUCUGACAAUAUGCUACCCCGAAAUAAAGGCACAAAGCAAGAUGUGUGAGUACUUUGAAAAGUAUUUUUGAUGAGACUUGUUUUCCACAUAACAUUAUCAGUAGUCUGAGGCACACUCACAUGCAGGCACAUCAACAAGACAUUCAAAGAUGUUGAAAUGCUGUACAAGCUUCCUCUUCCAAUUGAUGUGAAGUAGCACACUGACCUAAAGCUGGAUGAUGUGUAGAGAGUGUGUGACUUCAGAACACUCAGUCCUUAAGGCAAUGUCUCUAUCAUGUCCUUCCCGUUGUUACUCAGGAAGCUAUUUAGAAGGGGAAGCAGAGCACGCUAGAGGUAUCUUCCAGACACAACAGGACUGACACAUUAGAACCCACUGAGACAGGGCGGACACAUGCAUAGGGCCUUCACAGGCCGAAACUGCACAUCAUCCCAAUACUGACAGUGGAAAGUGGACACAAAUCCCUACCCCUAACCAGGAAGCUAGCUGCAUAUGACACCCACUUCCAAAGGAAGUUUUUGUUUUUGUCAGUUGUGUCCCUGGAUAUAUAAACACACUGAAGGGUAGGCCUCAUAACUAAUAGGUAAUGGCCAUCUCAAAGCAAACUCAGUGAUAAUUUUGUUGAUCGAUUGGUCUCAAUUCUUUCCCUGGGCAUUUUUUAAAUUUGCUGCUAUUUAGUUUGCAUCUUACAGUUUCUGAAAUUGUUUUGUUAUGAUUUUUCUGUUUGUGUGCAUGUAUGAUUCUUACGUACUUUUUCUUCUGGUUUGUUUGUGCUUAGGAUCCAUAAGGAAAUAGAGGAGAAAGCAAGAGUAAAUUAUAUUGUAUGAAAAAUUAUUUUCAAUUAGAAAAGAAAAAAUACUUGAUACAAAGAAAUGUGUUUUCCUCCUGUUUUUAACUGAGACCGGAAGGAUGGGGACAGUGUGGUCUCUUAGUGGAAAUUUAUACUAUAUACAGGAAGCACAGGUUACAAAGUGGUGACUGAUGGGAGCUGUCCCUGCUUCUUCUUAGGUAUUUAGGGCAAAGAGUUGCCAACAAUUCAACACACAGUAGGACAAAUGGAGGUGAACUUCAGGGUAGCAUGUGCGGACUUUUAGGAAUGUGUUCAGUUUUCUUAGGGCCCAAAGUUCAGUCUUCAUUUCAUACAGAGUCCACAUAACUAGCUGGAGCAGAUAAUUUGAUAAGGUUCACAAUGCCUGUUGAUAGGUAGGAAACACACCCACCCACUUACUGCAUGGAGGGGAUAAUCUGACUCAUGUCAAAAGAUUCCUUGUGGGUUGAGACCACAGUUUGGUUUCACAGGGAGCACCUGACCAAGAGCACAGCAGUGUGAACUUGUCCUUUCAGACUGGGUCAAGUACAAAGCUGCCAUGUCUUGUCUUCUUGCAGGUUCUCUCUCUCUCUCUCUCUCUCUCUCUCUCUCUCUCUCUCUCUCUCUUUGAAAUGAGGCGUAUGGGAGAAAAAGGCUCAAAAAAAUGGGGCUUUUAUAAGUAUGUAGAAUAAUACUGCCCUCUUGAAGAAUCAGUUUCCAUGUAGCUGGCGCCAUUCCAGCUUCCUGCACUCUCCUUGGAGCAAGGUUGGUCUUGGAGGCCUGGAGAACUUGGCCUUGGCCUUCCUUGAAUUUCAAUAUGGCCUAAGAGAAUGUGUAUCCUCAUACACUCUUGGUGUUACAAAUAAUGGAAUGGUUAUAUUUACUGUUUGACUAUUUUAUGAUGUUUUACUUAGGGUGUUUUUAACUGUUCCUGAGUACAUUAAAAUAAACAGUAGUAGAUGCUUUGAGAUUGCUCAUGUAAUACGAUCCCUUUAUUUCCAUAUUUUCUCUUUAAAAAGGAAUUUCCUUAUUUCCUGAAUCUAUGCACAAACAUUUUUAAAAUGACCGGUUCAACAGUUAAUGAAGACAGACUCUAGAAGCCAUGCAGUGAAAGUGAUUGCUCGUCUGCUUGUUCUCAGCUCCUGGUCCAGCAGCUCGCCUGCCUGCUCGCUUCCAUGCUUCUCGCAACAUUGGACAUCAAUUUACUACUGGAAAGUGUUAAUAAGCCUCCAAUGAAUUGCUUCCUAGUGGCCCUUCACAAGAAUAGGAGAAUAAUAAGACACUGUCACUUAUCUCAUUGGAAUUUAUAGGCAGUGCAAUGUUUAUUUCUCCCCCUUCGAUUAUGAGCAUUCAAAAUUACUACUUAGAUUCUCCUUAUAUGAUGCUAGUCAACCACCCACUGCCCACACGAGGCCUGUUAUGUCCUUCGGGAUAUGGUGCCCAAGGAAUAAGUGAAUUUGUCUGAGAGUAGGGUUUCUGGUACCUGGAUUUGCUCUAAUGCAGACACGGAGGUUCCAUACAGCAUUUUCUUUCUUCUUUCUAGAAAUGGAUCCUAAGAGCACAAGAUAAUCAUAAAUAUCACAAGAACCCUUUGGAGGUUGAAUGCUGACUUUAUCCAAAGAGAAGAUGCAUGAGGUGCCUCAGGUGAAGCCAAACUAAAGCUCAAAUUUAGAAGGGAUCAUUGGAUGCUUUUCCUAAAACAGCAAAGGUUGUUUCCCAUUUGCUUCCUUUCUACUUUGUUCAAGUGCCUAAUAUUUAAAAUUUUGGUACCCUUUUAAACUUUUAUGCAAUAAAGAUGUGCUGUGAGAUUUAGAAGUAAACACAUACAGUGAACACGUAAUGCAAUGGCUAUAAAUGGGGGGUACAAUGCUUGGGUUACAUGUCCUUGCCCUUGGUUUGAUCCUCACUACUGGAGGUGGGGAGCUAAUUUAUUUCUACAGUAUGUGCCCUGGAAUUUCCCACUUCCUAAUAUCUGUGGCAUUAAAUCUUAUCAUUAUAUGACUGGGAUGGAAAUUUAGAAAAUAGUUGAUGGGAUUAAUAAUGAUAACCCAUUCUGAUGAAAUCAUUUUAUUAAUAUAUUUAGUUCUCUUUGUUUUUGUUUUUUGUUUUGUUUGUCCUCAAAACAAUUGUUCUGUAUCCUUGACUGUUCUAGAACUCACUCUAGGCCAGGCUGGUCUGGAACUAACAGAUCCAUCUCCCUCUUCCCCUGCUCAGG